rnacentral:rRNA from 1 species
AUGGCUGCAAGCAUUCUGUCCCACGUUGUCUCCGACCUCUGCAUCGGCAAGCCGGCGGUGCGUGUGCUGCCGCCGUCGACUCCAAUCGCGGCGGCCCUCGCCACGCUCCGCGCUGGUGCCGACCCGUUCGUCUUCGUGGACGCUGCACCCCCGGACGCGAAGAAGACGGCCGUGUUGUCCGUCGUCAAGGUCAGCGUCGCGGAGAUCCUGUGUUACGUCUGCGGCGACGGUGGCAACCUCAGCGACCCCGCGGCCGCGCUCGGCCGGCCCGUUUCCGUGCUCACGGCCGUGGUGGGCGAUCACGGCGUCACUCGCCAAGUGGAUCCACAGACGAGCCUGCUCGACGCCAUCGACGCGCUGCUGGCCAACAACUCGCACAGCCUGGUCGUCCCGCUCCACGCCCGGGCCCGAAAGAAGCACCACCACGUCUCCGCCGGCUACUGCGUGCUGACGCAGCAAGACAUCGUCCGGCACCUCUUCGGCUCCAUCUCCCUCUUCUCCCCGGUCGCCGCGCUCUCCGUGUCCUCCCUCGGCCUCGUGCGCCGGGACGACGUGCACGCCGUCCACGUCGACGACGACGCGCUCGACGCCAUCCCUCUCCUGCGGAGGUCCAUCGGGCAAGGCACCGCCGUGGCCGUCGUGGCGGACGACGACGCGCUCGUCGGAGAGAUCUGCCCGGGCGUGCUCGGCUCGUGCGACGACGUCGAGUCCGUGUCCGCGGCCUUCGCCACGCUCUCCGCCGGCGACGCCAUGACGUACAUCGACUGCUACUUCUCGCCGCCCGAGUUCCUGCUCCGCUCCAUCAGAGCCGAGCUCACGGGCAAAGGGCUUCAUGCCAUGUGCGACCUCAUGGAUGCCGCCUACACAACGGACGUUGGAGCUCUGUCGUCGUCAUCAACGUCAUCUGAUGAGGAGUGUUUGCCAUUGGCGCCUGCGAGACGCGCGAGGAAGAUGUCGUCGGGAAGCUUCCGGUGGCGGUCGACGGAGGACGUGGCGGCGUGUCAUGCUGAGAGUUCGCUGGUCGCCGUCAUGGCCCAAGCGCUUGCGCACCGAGUCGGGCAUGUUUGGGUCGUCGAUGAGCUCAGCGGCGCUCUAGUCGGAGUCGUCAGCUGCGCCGAUGUGCUUGCUGUGCUCCGGGACCAUCUCCGCCCAGAGUGA